rnacentral:rRNA from 1 species
AUACGGAGGGUCCAAGCGUUAUCCGGAUUCAUUGGGUUUAAAGGGUCCGCAGGCGGGGAAAUAAGUCAGUGGUGAAAGCCUACAGCUCAACUGUAGAACUGCCAUUGAUACUGUUUUUCUUGAGUAUAGAUGAAGUGGGCGGAAUAUAUCAUGUAGCGGUGAAAUGCAUAGAUAUGAUAUAGAACACCGAUUGCGAAGGCAGCUCACUAAACUAUUUCUGACGCUCAGGGACGAAAGCGUGGGGAGCGAACAGGAUUAGAAACCCUAGUAGUCC